CCAGUCAAGUCCGUUGGGAAAUCGGCGCGCCUAACGCGUCGGCGUCCAGCGGAAACUGACUGGCUUGGGGCCGGAAGACCUGAGGGGUACGUCCGGGGUAGGAGUGAAAUCCUGUAAUCCUGGACGGACCACCGGUGGCGAAAGCGCCUCAGGAAGACGGACCCGACGGUGAGGGACGAAAGCUAGGGUCUCGAACCGGAUUAGAUACCCGGGUAGUCCUAGCUGUAAACGAUGCUCGCUAGGUGUGGCGCAGGCUACGAGCCUGCGCUGUGCCGUAGGGAAGCCGUGAAGCGAGCCGCCUGGGAAGUACGUCUGCAAGGAUGAAACUUAAAGGAAUUAGCGGGGGAGCACUACAACCGGAGGAGCCUGCGGUUUAAUUGGACUCAACGCCGGACAUCUCACCAGCACCGACAGUAGUCAUGACGGUCAGGUUGACGACCUUACUCGACGCUACUGAGAGGAGGUGCAUGGCCGCCGUCAGCUCGUACCGUGAGGCGUCCUGUUAAGUCAGGCAACGAGCGAGACCCACACUUCUAGUUGCCAGCAAUACCCUUGUGGUAGUUGGGUACACUAGGAGGACUGCCGCUGCUAAAGCGGAGGAAGGAAUGGGCAACGGUAGGUCAGUAUGCCCCGAAUGUGCUGGGCAACACGCGGGCUACAAUGGCCGGGACAAUGGGAUGCGACACCGAGAGGUGGAGCUAAUCCCCUAAACCCGGUCGUAGUUCGGAUUGCGGGCUGAAACUCGCCCGCAUGAAGC
rnacentral:rRNA from 1 species